UUAUUAUUAAUGGCUAAAUUAGUUAAAUCAUUUUAUUAUUUUAAUUUCACUGAUCAAGCCCCUUAUUGUUAUAAGCUGCUCUUGGAACACUGGUGAAGGUCCAAGCAAGACGGUCACAUUGUGGAAUCAAAGAGGGCCAGCAGUCUACAACCUUUAGAAGAGGAGUUUUUAAAAAAUGGGCUCUUGUUGGCAAGUGGAUAGAAGCAGAGAUGGUAGUGAGAGUGGAAGGAACGUGCUGUCCAUCCAGGAGAAGUCUGUCUUCUGCAGUGACUGAAUCCUGGCAGGAGGAAUUUCCAUUGUGUUUGCUGCAUCAGAGGCUCCGCUAUAAAAUGCUGACCAACCAAAGUGAGGGCGCUAGUAUACUACCAUUCUGUAAGCCUACUACAUCACACAAUGGUAAUGGAAAGAUUAAAGGGAAAAAAAACUGAACACUACCUUAAUCGCACAAUGGUAAUAAAAAGAGAAAUAAAGAACUGAACACUACCUUAAUCUUACAAUAGUAAUGGAAAGAGGAAAAAAAGAACUGAACACUACCUUAAUCGCACAAUGGUAAUAAAAAGAGAGAAAAAAGAACUGAACACUGCUGUAGCGUGUCCUACGGAUCAGGGUUCGAUGCUGGUAUAGAAUCACACACAGCCGCAACUCGCUGUUCUGGUCACGAAAUCUCUGUUUUAUUGUUGUAGCGUCCACAACAAUGCGUUUUUCAGCUAAGCUCUAAACACGGCGCCUCUCGACAGGGACUGCACAGGCACGAGGCAGGAAAACUGCGGGCCGUUCGCAUUCCAGCGCGGGCAGCCAGCCAACUCCAUGUGGGUCCGAGCUGGUGCCCCCACCGGCCGGACCCGCCGGCGCUACACCCCCCCACCUCCGAGGACCCUUGUUCUUCCCCGAACGAGGUGGCGCAACCCGGCGGGCCAGCCCGAGGCCAUCCCGGUCGCCCCUGCACAGCUUACAGGCAGUGGAAUAACAAGCAACUGGGUUCCAAGGGUCUUCUCCGUUACCAUGGGGAGGAUCCAGGGGUCCAGUGUGGAGGAGACUCCGGUCGCCGUGCUGCCCCCCGGCGUUG